AAAACCUGCUACACAGCCCAGCCUCUUACUAAUGUUUAUUUGUUCUAAAAUAAGAGCUCUAUAGCCCAGAUGACCUUAAACUUACUGUGUAGCUGAGGAUGACCUUGAACUUGGGAUCCCCCUUCUUUCAUCUCCUAAACACUGGAAUUAUAAGUGCUAGGUGUGCCUUACCAUGCCUAGUUUACUGAUUGCUAAUAUUAAAAAAGGAAAGUUAAGUAAGUAUCCUACUCCUCAUUUGCAUAUCUAUUGACAUCUACUCCCUUCUAACCCCCAUGGGACAGACAGAGGUUGACCAGAUGUUCCUUUUUUUUUUCCAGACAUCUUUAGUGUGAUUUCAACUUCUUCCCAGAGUCCACACAUAACUCUCUAUCUCUGCUUGGGCUGCCCAGUUUGACUACAGUAUAAGAAAUCACUGGGUCUGCUUCAUUUCACAGACUGCUUCUGAAAUAAUGAUCCAUUCACUGUAUCACGAGGGCCCUGCCACAGCCAUAGAAGAAGACAGUCUGUGAACAGGUGCUGGGAACUGAACUUGUGUCCUCUGGAUACUCUUCUCUUAAUGACUGAGCCAUAUCUCCAGCCACAUCUGUUUUCGAAAUGCACAAAGGGAAAUGCUGAUGUGGCCAGGGGAGAAGAUGUCCUUAAUGACUAGCUAAGCUGGACAAGCUUGAGUAAGUUCUCCUACCUCUCAUCUGUCUUUUGGAAAAAAAUAAAGCAAACACAGGAA